AGUGAACGCUGGCGGCAGGCCUAAUACAUGCAAGUCGAACGGCAGCACAGUGGAGCUUGCUCCAUGGGGGGCGAGUGGCGGGCGGGUGAGGAAUACAUGGGAAUCUGCUCAGUCGUGGGGGAUAACGUAGGGAAACUUACACUAAUACCGCAGGCCCCCUUCGGGGGAAAGCCGGUGACCUUCGGGCCUGGCGCGGGUGGGUGAGCCCGGGUUCGCUUCGCUAGUUGGCGGGGUAAAGGCCCACCAAGGCGGCGAGCGAUAGCGGGUCUGAGAGGAUGAUCGGCCGCACUGGGAGUGAGACACGGCCCAGACGCCUACGGGAGGCAGCAGAAGGGAAUAGGAGACAAUAGGCGCAAGCCUGGUCCAGCCAUGCCGCGUGAGUGAAGACGGCGCUCGGUUUGUAAAGCUCUUUUGUCCGGGAAGAACCGCAUCGGGCUAAUACCUCGGUGUUCUGACGGUACCGGAAGAAUAAGCACCGGCUAACUUCGUG
rnacentral:rRNA from 1 species